rnacentral:tRNA from 1 species
GCGGGGGUCGCCCAGCUUGGCCAAAGGCGCGAGGCUCAGGACCUCGUCCCGUUGGGGUUCGUGGGUUCAAAUCCCACCCCCCGCA